GGGGCGCCUGUGGGAGUCGUGGAGGGAACUUUCCCAGGCCCCGAGGCGGAUCGGGUAUUGAGUCCAUGGAGCGAGCUGAGAGCUAGAGUACAGAACCUGCUAAGGCCAUCAAACCUAUCGAUCGGAAGUCAGUCCAUCAGAUUUGCUCUGGGCCGGUGGUACUGAGUCUAAGCACUGCGGUGAAGGAGUUAGUAGAAAACAGUCUGGAUGCUGGUGCCACCAAUAUUGAUCUAAAGCUUAAGGACUAUGGAGUGGAUCUCAUUGAAGUUUCAGACAAUGGAUGUGGGGUAGAAGAAGAAAACUUUGAAGGCUUAACGAUGUCACCAUUUCUACCUGCCACGCAUCGGCGAAGGUUGGGACUCGACUGGUGUUUGAUCACGAUGGGAAAAUCAUCCAGAAAACCCCCUACCCCCACCCCAGAGGGACCACAGUCAGCGUGAAGCAGUUAUUUUCUACACUACCUGUGCACCAUAAGGAAUUUCAAAGGAAUAUUAAGAAGACGUGCCUGUUUCCCCUUCGCCUUCUGCCGUGAUUGUCAGUUUCCUGAGGCCUCCCCAGCCAUGCUUCCUGUACAGCCUGCAGAACUAAAGAACAGGAUUGGAGGUGCUCUCUGGGGUGUCCUCCUACCAAGCUGACUGUUGAAGUCCUUGUGGUGCUCAGGGAGGAUGGGUGACACUCGCUGUUGCUUCAGCUUCAUCUUAAGCCCACACAGCGUCUCCACUACCCAGGUCUCCUCAGGCUCAGGGGCGAGCUCCUUCUCCGGCUCCUCCUCAGAUUCAUCUGACCACUCCUUCUUCCUUUUCCAGCCAAGGGACCUACAUGGGGGGCUGGGAUCUACCCCAGGGGCUGAGUAAAGAAACCAGGCCACUGUG
ensembl:lncRNA PMS2P4 PMS1 homolog 2, mismatch repair system component pseudogene 4